UACGAAGGACCCGAGCGUUAUCCGGAAUCAUUGGGUUUAAAGGGUCCGUAGGCGGUCUUAUAAGUCAGUGGUGAAAGCCCAUCGCUCAACGAUGGAACUGCCAUUGAUACUGUAAGACUUGAAUGCUUGUGAAGUAACUAGAAUAUGUAGUGUAGCGGUGAAAUGCUUAGAUAUUACAUGGAAUACCAAUUGCGAAGGCAGGUUACUAACAAGUUAUUGACGCUGAUGGACGAAAGCGUGGGGAGCGAACAGG
rnacentral:misc_RNA from 1 species